AUAAACGCUGGCGGCGUGCUUCAGGCAUGCAAGUCGAACGAGCACUUCGGUGCGAGUGGCGGACGGGUGAGUAACACGUGAGCAACCUGCCCAGAAGUGGGGAAUAACUUGCCGAAAGGCGAGCUAAUACCGCAUGUGAUGGUUCUUCCCUGGAGGAAUCAUAAAAGGCGAAAGUCGCUUCUGGAGGGGCUUGCGGCCGAUUAGCUAGUUGGUGGGGUAAUGGCCUACCAAGGCGACGAUCGGUAGCUGGUCUGAGAGGACGGUCAGCCACACGGGGACUGAGAUACGGCCCCGACUCCUACGGGAGGCAGCAGCUAGGAAUCUUGGGAAUGGGCGAAAGCCUGACCCAGCAACGCCGCGUGGGCGAUGAAGGCCUUCGGGUCGUAAAGCCCUUUUGCAGGGGAAGAUGAUGACGGUACCCUGCGAAUAAGCCACGGCUAACUACGU
rnacentral:rRNA from 1 species